GGUACGUUUCUAUAACAAACCCGCUACACGAGUACAAAAGACGUUACAACGAUAGUAUAUUUAUCUCUUUUUAACUUAUGACGGCUCACAUGAGUGCGAAAGACAAAACCUAUGUUUUUCUUUCGUCUUAAAUAUGCUCCGUCUAUUCCUCAGAACAAUAACUAAAGCAUAGAAGGAAGGCUAAAAUAAGAAUUCAGAAACUAUAAACCGGCUCUCUUCUAGCUUACGACACAAACUAUGAGUGAGAAAAGGACAAAUGAUUCGCUCUUUGCUUCAUUUUUUCCGAGGUUGUCACAACAUGAAAUGUCAUUUGGACCUAUUGGACUCAUUUUAACUCGGCCAAAUACAUAGUAACAUACAUAAGAAGAUUUUACUUAUAUUUACCGAACUAUUUGACACGGUCGCGUCAACUGUGUUUACGAGUGUCUUGUGUUCAGAUUGUUUUAAGUGAUAAUUUAACAAUAUUUUUCCAAAUAAAUGGAAAGAAACUUUUAUUUAUAUCAAAUAAUUGAGUGUCUCGACUGUGUGACAUUAUGUCUUGUGUGGUAUGGGGCUGCAGCUCACAUUCAGGAAGAAAAGAAAAUAGCCAACAACUUCUGUCGUUUCAUCGAUAUUAAAUCCAAAAGUGUCGACUGGAUUUACAUGAAAAGUCAGUUCAAGAAGACGAGAUGAAAAAUUUAAAAGAAAAGCUGAACAAGUCCCGCCUCAAGAUCAAACGACUUAAUGAAAAAAAAAAACAAUGUGACAGGGUGUCACAAAGACAGUUUCUAAGCAAAUUGACACUGUUUAGAAAUUAAUAAAUUUGUAUUUAUUGUAAAUAUAAUGUACAUAAUUAAUAACGUGUGAAAUAAAUACUUGCUAAUGAAAAUGAACAGAUUUACGAUCUAAUUUAUAUUUCAUUUUACCUCCUGUUCUUAUUUACUCCUACUCCAACACUCCAGGUUGAUACGAACUGCGCCCAAUAAAGAAUGUAAUGAAUGUUAUAGAUUUGUGUAAGCGACUUAGAUAAAUCUUGACUAAACCUUCCUUUACAAAUACAAAUAUACUUUAUUGCACACAACAUACAAUACUUACAAGUUUUACACGAAAGAUACAGUACACCACCUACCUACCUUUUACUUUCCCUUUCUGUUCUCUUAUGAAUACUUGUAUGCCGUAUUUUUUUAAGUAUAAUGCUAUAUCUAGUAGGUACGAGUAUGGUAAUCCUAUUAUUGAAACAGCUUGUAGCCCUAGUAAAGACCGCCAUUUUAUGUUUACAGAGUGGCACGUUUUUUCUGUAGGUAUUUCCAGUCCAUACUCUUUUCUAUGUCUAUGGCGU